rnacentral:rRNA from 1 species
GACGAACGCUGGCGGCGUGCUUAACACAUGCAAGUCGAACGGAAAGGCCCUGCUUGCAGGGUGCUCGAGUGGCGAACGGGUGAGUAACACGUGGGUGAUCUGCCCCUUACUUUGGGAUAAGCCUGGGAAACUGGGUCUAAUACUGGAUAGGACCAUGCUGUAGGUGGUGUGGUGGAAAGAUUUUUUCGGUAAGGGAUGAGCUCGCGGCCUAUCAGCUUGUUGGUGGGGUAAUGGCCUACCAAGGCGUCGACGGGUAGCCGGCCUGAGAGGGUGGACGGCCACAUUGGGACUGAGAUACGGCCCAGACUCCUACGGGAGGCAGCAGUGGGGAAUAUUGCACAAUGGGCGCAAGCCUGAUGCAGCGACGCAGCGUGGGGGAUGACGGCCUUCGGGUUGUAAACUCCUUUCAGCCAUGACGAAGCCUCUUUUGGGGUGACGGUAGUGGUAGAAGAAGCACCGGCUAACUACGUG